AGUAGAAGAAGGACAUGUUUAUCAUUCACACUAAUGAAAAAUAUCUUCGUGUUAAUGUGAAGAGAGCAUUUGAACAGAUGCAGAUGUGCCAUACCAAAAUGAUUAAAUGGUACCGCUUAACUCAGAGCACAGGUCUUAUCCCUUGCUCUGCUUUAUAUGAACAGCACGUGAGGAAUCCUUGACUUUUCUGUGAAGCUGUAGCACAGGAGUUGCCAACCAAAAUAUCAGGAGUAGAGAAAAGUGCUCAGGACCACAGGAGAGCUGCCAUGCACUGCAUGAAGUCUGAAAUCAGACCUGGGCCGAUAAAUAAGCAUCUUUCAC
rnacentral:lncRNA from 1 species